rnacentral:rRNA from 1 species
GAUGAACGCUGGCGGCGUGCCUAAUACAUGCAAGUCGAGCGAACAGACGAGGAGCUUGCUCCUUUGACGUUAGCGGCGGACGGGUGAGUAAUACGUGGGUAACCUACCUAUAAGACUGGGAUAACUUCGGGAAACCGGAGCUAAUACCGGAUAAUAUUUCGAACCGCAUGGUUCGAUAGUGAAAGAUGGCUUUGCUAUCACUUAUAGAUGGACCUGCGCCGUAUUAGCUAGUUGGUAAGGUAACGGCUUACCAAGGCAACGAUACGUAGCCGACCUGAGAGGGUGAUCGGCCACACUGGAACUGAGACACGGUCCAGACUCCUACGGGAGGCAGCAGUAGGGAAUCUUCCGCAAUGGGCGAAAGCCUGACGGAGCAACGCCGCGUGAGUGAUGAAGGUCUUCGGAUCGUAAAACUCUGUUAUUAGGGAAGAACAAACGUGUAAGUAACUGUGCACGUCUUGACGGUACCUAAUCAGAAAGCCACGGCUAACUACGUG